ACCAACAUGGCGCAAGCCAAGACACCUGCAUCGCAGUGGAGCUCGGAAUAUGGGAAGGCUUAGCCCGCGUUCAAAAAAAAUAAAACAAAUCGUUUCGUGCACCUUAGACAAUAGAAGCGACACUAAGCAUCAACAAAGAUUGUCAUCGACAUCAGCGCGUUGCGAGAACCUUUAUCGUUUGAUGGCGCCGUGUAGUCGACGACACAGGGGCAUCUUGCCAGUGAAGAACGAACCAGCCGUCGCGGGUGCGGUGACAAAACUGUGCUGGAAGAUGGGACACAGUUUUGACCCGGACGAUACUACGACGCUGACCCUUCAACAAAAGCGGGGAAAAGGAAAAUCCUCGAUUCAUGGUUCACUCGUCGUGACGCCUCGGUGCGGAACACCAACCGUGGCCUCCUGCCGGACGUUUUCAUGGACGUUGUGGCGAGUGGACUGAUCGAACUUUCCUCAUUUGUGUCAUUGUAUAGGCCUACAUGAGAUGCAGUGGCAUAGGUGGCGAAACACCUGUGCCUGCAAUUGUUCUUUUUGCUUUCUUAAGUCGAAAUAAACCUCUUUUUAUUUGUG